rnacentral:rRNA from 1 species
GACGGAAGGUGCAAGCGUUGCUCGGAAUCACUGGGCGUAAAGGGUGCGUAGGCGGCCGUGCAAGUCUGGCGUGAAAGCCCCGGGCUCAGCCCGGGAAGUGCGCUCGAAACUGCGCGGCUCGAGUGCGGAAGAGGCGAGUGGAAUUCCUGGUGUAGCGGUGAAAUGCGCAGAUAUCAGGAGGAACACCGGUGGCGAAGGCGGUGCUCUGGGCCGAAACUGACGCUGAGGAGCGAAAGCGUGGGUAGCAAACAGG